ensembl:lncRNA
GUGCUGUAUUGUGACAGGUUUGGAAAUGAUUAUGGGGACUGGUAGGAGGAUGCUAUAGAAAUGCUAUGUGCCGUGAUUGUGCGGGCCUGGGCAGGGGGAGGAGGAAGGAUGGAAAGCUGUUGUAAAACCACUGUUCCAAGGGGAGAAGAGAGCGUUUGCCUGGAGCUGUUCCCAAGGGCUGAUGCUCAGUGUACGGGCAUCUAUCAGUCUGUGCCCUGGUGUGGGGUGGGCCCCAGUGAUGGAGAGCUUGUCAGAUCUGACUGUACCUGGAAGAGUAGACUGAGAGCCCACUGGGGACAGGCAUUGUCCUUUCCUUAUUCUCUGUGUCUCCUUCUAGCGGGAGCAGAAUUCAUUGCCUGCAUCCUUAUGGACAAGGACCAUACCCUGGGCCUACUUGUGUUGGGGUGGCAGUCCUGCUUAGACCUGCAUGCUGCUCAGGAGCUGUGGAGUUUACCCGUCUGCCUUCUCCCUGUACCAGCAGUGUCUCCACCAAGCCAGCCUGAAGCAAAGGAUGCAAAUGGCCCCACCUGGAGGUAAUCGUUCCCAGCGAGUCCACGCCAUCUCAACCUCGGAGACCCAGGGCCAUUUAGGAUGCCCCAGCAGUCUGCUCCAGCCCCAAACCUGUCGCCCUGCAUUUAAACAACCCCCCGACUCCCCCACUCCAAGUCCCUGGCUUAACAAAAAGAAUGAAAUAUACAGAUAAAGCUUUCUGUGUUUGCUUUCCCCAGCCCUCCCUCCCACUGCACGGUGCUCAUUAGCUCCCCGAACGCUCGAGUCAGACGUGGCCUCUGGUUAAAAACAGCAUCCGCCCUCGUGCCUUGCC